UCUUAGCUUGCUAAGGCUGAUGGCGACCGGCGCACGGGUGAGUAACACGUAUCCAACCUGCCGUCUACUCUUGGCCAGCCUUCUGAAAGGAAGAUUAAUCCAGGAUGGCAUCAUGAGUUCACAUGUCCGCAUGAUUAAAGGUAUUUUCCGGUAGACGAUGGGGAUGCGUUCCAUUAGAUAGUAGGCGGGGUAACGGCCCACCUAGUCAACGAUGGAUAGGGGUUCUGAGAGGAAGGUCCCCCACAUUGGAACUGAGACACGGUCCAAACUCCUACGGGAGGCAGCAGUGAGGAAUAUUGGUCAAUGGGCGAUGGCCUGAACCAGCCAAGUAGCGUGAAGGAUGACUGCCCUACGGGUUGUAAACUUCUUUUAUAAAGGAAUAAAGUCGGGUAUGCAUACCCGUUUGCAUGUACUUUAUGAAUAAGGAUCGGCUAACUCCGUGCCAGCAGCCGCGGUAAUACGGAGGAUCCGAGCGUUAUCCGGAUUUAUUGGGUUUAAAGGGAGCGUAGAUGGAUGUUUAAGUCAGUUGUGAAAGUUUGCGGCUCAACCGUAAAAUUGCAGUUGAUACUGGAUGUCUUGAGUGCAGUUGAGGCAGGCGGAAUUCGUGGUGUAGCGGUGAAAUGCUUAGAUAUCACGAAGAACUCCGAUUGCGAAGGCAGCCUGCUAAG
rnacentral:rRNA from 1 species